CGAUGUACUCUCAAGCAUAAUGUCAGACUAGAGCGCAUACAAGUAUAUUAUAGGUAUGGCCCGGACAGAUGUUUACUAAAAGUAUACGUAUAUACGCGUCUACCGCCUAUAUAUAAUACUAUAAUCGAUUAUUUCAAACAGGAAGCGAAAUUAAUAGACCCGGACGUUUACUAUUAUAUAAUACGAGCAAACAUUUUAACGGAUAUUUGUAAAUUUUAUCUCAAAACCCAAUUAUGCGGGAUUCUCCCGAAAGUUAUAAGGAGUUCGAGAGGGUUAAGUAAUUCAUCGGGUCUGUUUUACGAGCAAAAUCGAUACAAUUUAGAGGUACCACCGAAAAUCCGCGACGCACAAGGAAUGUCGUAUGGCCUUCGGUGCAUCGAAUUUGAUGCAACUAUAAUACAAUGCAAUGAAUUUCACAUAUGU